GACGAACGCUGGCGGCGUGCUUAAUACAUGCAAGUCGAGCGAGGUUACUGUUUCGGAUCCCUUCGGGGUGAAGAAGCUUUAACCUAGCGGCGGACGGGUGAGUAACGCGUGGGUAACCUACCCCAAAGUCCGGGAUAACAGCGGGAAACCGCUGCUAAUACCGGAUGUCUUUACCUUGGGGCGUCUUGAGGUAAAGAAAGGUAACGCUUUGGGAUGGGCCCGCGUCCCAUUAGCUAGUUGGUGAGGUAACGGCUCACCAAGGCGACGAUGGGUAGCCGGCCUGAGAGGGUGGACGGCCACACUGGGACUGAGACACGGCCCAGACUCCUACGGGAGGCAGCAGUAGGGAAUAUUGCGCAAUGGACGGAAGUCUGACGCAGCGACGCCGCGUGAGCGAUGAAGGUCUUCGGAUCGUAAAGCUCUGUCCUUGGGGAAGAAGGCGAAAGCUUGACGGUACCCAAGAAGAAAGCCCCGGCUAACUACGUGCCAGCAGCCGCGGUAAUACGUAGGGGGCGAGCGUUGUCCGGAAUUACUGGGCGUAAAGGGUGCGUAGGCGGCCCUUUAAGUCGGAUGUGAAAGCCCGCGGCUUAACCGCGGAAUGGCAUUCGAAACUGGAGGGCUUGAGUGUCGGAGAGGGUAGUGGAAUUCCCAGUGUAGCGGUGAAAUGCGUAGAUAUCACAGGAAACACCAGUGACGAGGGCGACUCCAAGGACGAUAACUGACGCUGAGGCAUGAACGAUAGGGGCGCCCA
rnacentral:rRNA from 1 species